rnacentral:rRNA from 1 species
GAUGAACGCUGGCGGCGUGCCUAAUACAUGCAAGUCGAGCGAACGGACGAGAAGCUUGCUUCUCUGAUGUUAGCGGCGGAUGGGUGAGUAACACGUGGAUAACCUACCUAUAAGACUGGGAUAACUUCGGGAAACCGGAGCUAAUACCGGAUAAUAUUUUGAACCGCAUGGUUCAAAAGUGAAAGACGGUCUUGCUGUCACUUAUAGAUAGAUCCGCGCUGCAUUAGCUAGUUGGUAAGGUAACGGCUUACCAAGGCAACGAUGCAUAGCCGACCUGAGAGGGUGAUCGGCCACACUGGAACUGAGACACGGUCCAGACUCCUACGGGAGGCAGCAGUAGGGAAUCUUCCGCAAUGGGCGAAAGCCUGACGGAGCAACGCCGCGUGAGUGAUGAAGGUCUUCGGAUCGUAAAACUCUGUUAUUAGGGAAGAACAUAUGUGUAAGUAACUGUGCACAUCUUGACGGUACCUAAUCAGAAAGCCACGGCUAACUACGUG